UGUUCUCCUACAGAUUACAGAAGAAAAGUGUAAAUAUUCUUCGAGGGGGGAUAGUCUUCUGUGUUGUUUUAUUAUAUGUUUGAUUAUAUACUGUUUAUUUGUGAAUGACAGACAUUUUCCCAAUAAUCGAACUGAGUGUAUUAUAGUUUUGUUUUUUGUAUUUUCGUAGAGAACGGUAUUUUUUUCUGAAUACAACACUACCACACGCAUUCUGGAGCAACCAUGCAUCUUUUAUAAGCGAGACGCUCCUCUUUUCAUUAAAAUUUGUUGCAUCUGUUACCUCACUAUGGCCACUCUGACGAGGCAGGACCUUAAUUUUGGGCAGGUUGUUGCUGACAUUCUGUGUGAGUUUUUGGAAGUGGCCAUUCACCUCAUUCUCUAUGUCAGAGAUGUUUAUCCAUCUGGUAUUUUUCAGAAAAGGAAGAAAUACAACGUACCUGUGCAGAUGUCAUGUCAUCCUGAUUUAAAUCAGUACAUUCAAGACACGCUGCAUUGUGUCAAGCCACUGAUAGAGAAGAAUGAGGCUGAGAAGGUUGUAGUGGUGAUCAUGGAUAAAGAGCACCAUCCAGUGGAGAGAUUUGUGUUUGAGAUCUCACAGCCUCCACUGCUGUCCAUCAGCUCAGAGACUCUGCUGUCUCACGUGGAGCAGCUGCUGAGAGCGAUGAUCUUAAAAAUCAGCGUAUGUGAUGCUGUUCUAGACAAUAAUCCUCCAGGAUGCACAUUCACAUUGCUUGUACACACCAGGGAAGCUGCCACAAGAAACAUGGAGAAAGUUCAGGUCAUCAAGGAUUUUCCAUGGAUUGUAGCAGAUGAGCAGGAAGUUCACAUGGAAGAGGCCAAACUCAUUCCUCUGAAAACAAUGACUUCUGAUAUUCUCAAGAUGCAGCUCUAUGUGGAAGAAAAAACACGGAAAACUUGAUGCUCUGGAUCACAUGAAAGCUGCUGCGGGGGUGAAACACAGGAAACAGGAUUUUUUAUUUUUUUAAGAGAAAACAGGACUUUACAUUUUACGGUUUGGUAACAUGAAGUAUAUUGAGCUGGACUGUGCAUCUUGUUAAGGGAUUUCCACUGCAGUCAGGGCAGUCUCCACUUUUAAAAACAGGGUUAUUCUAGCCCCCUCUGUGUUUGGUGUGCCGCGCAUUUACUAGAUGCAAAAAGAGUAAGGAGAGAACAUCACAUCAAAAGGACUUGCCUGUGAAAACUGAAUCAUUUAUCAUUUAUCAGCUCUGUAAGAAAAAAGAGGGCAAAAUGAUCUCCUCUGGACCAGCGACGAUUCUGUUAGUUCCCUGAUAUGUACAUAAGCUACACCUUCAUUCAUCCAUCAACAUUACUACCUCUCCUUGUCAUCAAAAUCGUGUUUUGUAUGGCUACUUGUAAUAAUGCAGAAUAUGAAAUUAAUGGAGAAUGUUGCCCCAUGUGUGAUCCAGGAAAGCAAGUUAAGAACCAUUGUGAUGCGUACACAAGCACAACAUGUGAUGCAUGUCCUGUGAUGACCUACACUGAUGUUCCUAAUGGAUUCACAAAAUGUCUGCCAUGUUUUGUCUGUGAUUCAAGUGAG